GAGUUUGAUCCUGGCUCAGGAUGAACGCUGGCGGCGUGGUUAACACAUGCAAGUCGAACGUGAUCCGGAGCUUGCUCUGGUGAAAGUGGCGCACGGGUGAGUAACGCGUGGAUAACCUACCCUGGUAUCCGGGAUAACAUUCCGAAAGGGGUGCUAAUACCGGAUAAGCCCACGGGCUCUUUGGAGCUUGCGGGAAAAGGUGGCCUCUAUUUAUAAGCUACUGUAUCAGGAUGGGUCCGCGUACCAUUAGCUAGUUGGUAGGGUAAUGGCCUACCAAGGCUACGAUGGUUAGCUGGUUUGAGAGAAUGAUCAGCCACACUGGAACUGAGACACGGUCCAGACUCCUACGGGAGGCAGCAGUGGGGAAUUUUGCGCAAUGGGGGAAACCCUGACGCAGCAACGCCGCGUGAGUGAUGAAGGCCUUUGGGUCGUAAAGCUCUGUCAGAGGGGAAGAAAUGAUAUAGUGCUAAUACCACUUUAUCUUGACGGUACCCUCAAAGGAAGCACCGGCUAACUCCGUGCCAGCAGCCGCGGUAAUAC
rnacentral:rRNA from 1 species